CGGGCUUUUGAUACGCUUGU
rnacentral:siRNA from 1 species